GCAGGCGGCGCUGUCUUGGGGGAAGCCGCGGACACCGCCCCGACAGCCACAAAGGCCAUUUCCGCAGUAGUUUCGCGAGCUUGUUCUAGCCACGCCUUGCUGGUCUGUUUAGAAACUAUCUUUCUUCAUCCAACUUGCUAACUUUGCAGAACGGUGCCCUUGUGACAAUUAGUGAUAUUUGAAAAGUUAGCAAAGAGCUUUUGGAAGAGUGCAACAUAAAAACAACAACAACAAAACAUGUACUUAAGAUUGCGUAAUCAGUGAUUAAAAAAGACUUAAAAUACUCUUCGGGGAACAAUUCGCGAAAAUUCAGCUGCAGCGUCAUCUGCUGGACAUGCCGCGACACUGCAGGUCCCUGCGGCGAAGAAGAUGGGGUUGCAGUUGAAAACCAGGCUUUUUGCCCAGGAAAGGCUCUGGCAGCAAGGCACAGAGGCUUGCCAUGAAUUUGUCAAGUGGAUGAAAUAAGAUUGAACCCAGGGCUUUGCACAUGCUAGGUAAGUACUAUACCACUGAACUAUAUCUCCACCCCUCAUACCCAUUGAAACUUGUCAGUUUGGGAAAUAUGGCUGUUAUCUCUCUCCUGUGUCUUAAAAGACCAGAUAACCUUAGUUUUGAUUUGUUAAGGUUUAACUGUAGUAUGAAUGACUCUUUUUUGUUUUGUUUUUAACUUUUUUGCAGGGACUAUGUGCAUGUGUGUGGUACUAGAGGUAGUACUGGGGUGCUCUACCACUGAAUGACAUUCCCAAACUUUUUUUUUUUUUUUUUUAAAUGUUGAGAAACUGUUUCACUAAAUUGCCUGGGCUGGCCUGGAACAUGAUCCUACCUCAGCCUUCUGAGUAGCUUGGAUGACAAUCAUGCACUAUGCCAUCCUGCCCCAUUUUUACUGUUGUGCUGGUCUAUUGGGACCUCAUAUAGGAGCUUAGUUCAAAACAAUGGCCUCCAAUUUUUAUUUAACAAUUGUUUGGCAGAUGCAGUGAUGCAUGCUUGUAAUCCUAGUUACUCCGGAGACUGAGGCAGGAAGAACAUAAAUUGGAAGCCAGCAUUGGGCAAUGUAUGGAGACUCUGUCUCAAAACAAAAAGUAAAAAUGGGCUGGGAUUUUAGCUCAGUGAUACAGUGGCACUGGGUUCAAUCCACAGUAUUGUAAAAAAUAAAAACUGUCUUCACCAUAAAGCCUUCUAGAAUAAAACCUCCAGUUGGUUAACAUAUAUAUUCCCUAAGCAUCUAGAUAAUGUGCUAAAUAUACUUUAGUUGAAAUAUAUUUUAGUUGAAAAACUACUAAUUUAAGAAUGAAAUAUUUAACAGCAGGGUAAGACACUCGUUAUUCCAAAUUCAGAAUAUUAUACCACAUAAUAUAGUGAAUAAGCAUUUGAUAAGUGUAGUGUAAUUUGAAAGGAAGCUCCACAGGUAUUUCUUUUUUUUUUUUUUUUUGG